UUAGCUCAAAUUUGUAUAGAGUUGGAACGUUUGCCGCUAGGGGCGCUGUUCCAACUCCAUACAAAUUUGAGUUA
rnacentral:pre_miRNA from 1 species